AUGAGCGUGAUCGCGGUAUGUGCUGAAGUGUUUUUUUUGGGAUGAGUUUGGCGGUCUCUGUAAAUAGUUUAGUCAGUGGGAAUAUGGCGAUGACAUUUCUGAAUAUUACAACAAAGAUUAGGGUAAUGUUCUUUGAAUUAGGCGGAAUAAUGGUGUUGGGGAAAGUGUUUUUCUUUUAUGUUAUGCCGGGAUGUAAAAGGAAAAGCUUGGAGGAUAAAGGUCAACAGUUUGAGGAUAGGAAAAUUAGUGAUAAAGGAAGAGAAUUAAAUUACGAAGAACAAAUAAUAAGUAUCUGACCAAUCGAGCUAAACCUAUAUCAAUUGUAAAUCUAAUUUGAUAAAUUUGGUCUCAUAAAUCUUUGAUUUUCUACAAAAUUCGAGCUAAACCCAAAUCAUUAAGACCCCUAGUUUGAAAGAUCUAGAUAAUUUAUCGGAACUUUCGUCAAAAGCCCCCUUUUAAAAUAGGGUUUUGUCAAAAACCACCUUUUAAUAUAUCUUUUUUAAUUUCAUAAGAAGCCACCUAUUUUUUUUUUUUUGUGAAUUAGCACCUUAUGUCGAAUUCCGACACUACUACAUUUUUGACCAAAUGCAACGGCAUAAUAAAGGCGAAUGCAACGGUAUUUUAAUUGCCGUUGCAAUAGAGUAGGCUAUUGCCACGGAUUUAACACUAAUGUUCUUAGAGGUAGAGUUAUUGCCACGCUCUAAAGAACCGUUGCAUUAGCCUAGCUAUUUUAACAAAAAAAGGGGCUAUUGCCAUGGUAGUGUAUUAUAUGAUGAAAAAUUUGAAAACGCGCGGAGUACUUCCCUCUAUUUUUUUUCCCCAAAAUUUUUGAGCAUAUUCCCCAAUUUUCACUCUGUACUUCCCAUUUUCUCCAUUUUCGCCAAUUCUCCAUUUUCUCACAUUCUCAUAUAUUCCCCAAUUCUCCUAAUUUACUUCCAUUUUCCCCAAUUCCGUCACAGAGGAAGAAAGCAAACAAGACAAUGUUUUCAUCGUCAAUGUUUUCGCUCCUUUUUCACCGUCAAUGUUUUCGCUCUCCAUAGCCCAGCUUCCUCGAGUACUCGGAGCUGCUGUCUACGGUUGAUGGAGUUGUUGCUGCUACCGGAGAUUUAAACCAAAGAAAAGAGGAGAGAGAAAUUUGCAAAUCCAGUAACAAUGUAUCCCAAAUUCACUGAGAUUUCCCAAAGCUUCGAACGUUUCAAAGCUACUUAUGUUCGCAAUGAUUUCGACACUUCCACUCGUCUCCUUUCUCAGCUUAAGAUUGAAAUUAGUUGGAGUAAAUCCGAGUGUUUUGGGUGGUUAUGGGAACCAAGGUGGAUUGCAGAGCGCGUAUCCAAAUUAGCAGCUGGGGCAAGGAGGGCUGGUGGGCGGUUGCAGCAUGGCCAUAUGGGUGGUGUUGCACCGUAUGGCAGCCAUUGGGUUACUCUUAAAUAGUCACAGGUAUACCAUCUCCUUUAAACUUUAAACUUCUAGUUUCUAUGAGAUCCUGAAAUCUUGAAUUAUUCUUGGGUUUUGCAUUCAAUUACGUGAUGUCAAGAUUUAUUUUGAAUAGUUUUAGCACUCUAGGUAGCCAAUUGCUUGUGAAUUUUAACUCAGAGUAGUAUUCAUCAGUUUCAUUGGUAUUUGAUACAUUUCAAUUUAUCCUCAUGUUUUUGCAUUAUAUUUUGCUGUGAUCAUAAUUAACAUUGAGUUAGCCCUUGUUAGGCAUACCUCUGUUCCCCAAACUUUAUGGAGUGUAGUUUGUGUACCCUUAUGCAGCAUUGUUUGUCUACAUCUUUUUGAACAAUCAUUGUUGUUGUUUGCUUCUGUUUGAAGGUGUUAUGGCAUAUCUGUGUAGUGUCUGUAUUCUUUAGUUUGAAGUAGUUGGUUUAAUAGCAAAUUCAGCAAUCAAACAGCUCAUACACCGACCUCUUCGGCGACCCAAUCUACGAUUUAACCCCUUUAUGGUUCAAGAACGACCUCUUUCUCCCUCCUUUUGACUCCGAAUCCUACAUCUCUAAUCUCCAAACCCAGUCCUCUCUCGCUGCACUCAAUUAAUCUCAAGUUACUAGUAUGUAUUUUGAAAUAAUUAAAUUUAUUCUAGUAUAAUUUGUUGAAAAUGGCUCUAUUUAAUUUUUAAAUGCUAUAAUUUCUCAGAAAUUGUGCUACUAUUUGUUUAAUUAGGGUUUUCGUAAGUAAUUGCUUCAGUAAUUCUGAUGUCAUCAAUUUUGUUAAAUUAAUUUUGCAUUUUUGCUGGUUUUAUUAAGAGAAAGAGAACGAUUAAGGUGAGCAAUCUUUUUAAUACUCUUCCUGAUCUACAGUCUUACUGUAGUACUACAUUUUUUUUUAUCUUAUUUAUGGUUUCCUUGCGUUUUUGUUUAAAUUUUUGUGUUUUCAUUUUUCCUGAUUCUGCUCUUUUUUUUUCAUUCUUUACUAUUCAAUUGAUCUAAAUGUAUUGGCUGACGAGAUCAUUGAAUUGUUUGUGAGCUAAUUGCAGCCCACCAUCCCAUUAUUGAGUCUUCAGAAGCAGGUGCAUGAGCAGUUGGUAUGCUGGAACCUAUAGGUUCUACUUUUUGGCUAAUACCUUGUAGUUUUCUUCGUAGUAUCCUUUUAACUUUAGUUGUUUAGUGUAUGUUUGGCUUUAGGCUAUACUAGUUAUGUGGCUUUCUUUUUGGUGAAUGUUUUAUUUCACAGCAUGCAUAUUCUCUUAUGAUUACCGAUCUUCCACUGCUCUCCUUCUUAAUACUUCCCUCUUUCAAGAAAAAAAAAUGAAAUAGAGGGUCGUAAUUGCUUGAAAACAAAACCCGAUUUCCUCGGCUUUUUGUAAUUCCUCUUUUUUUCACCCUUUCAUUUGGAUAAUGAAGAGCCAAUGAUAGAUUGAUAGUAGUCUUAGUAGAUUCUUAAUUUUUCUUUUCAAUGUGAAUUAAGGCAACGACACUUGGGCGCUAUCAAUGUCUCAUGCUUUGUUGUGUCAACCGGAUUUAUGGAAGUUGUUCACUAGGACAGUGAUGUAUCAUACUAUAGCAUUUCUGCUUAACUUACUUUGCCUAUUGAAAAUGUAGAAUAACAUGCUCAGAAAUACAGCAAGGUUCAGUAGAUUUGAUCGGUUUAACAAACUUAAACCUUUGUCUUUAACCUUUUAUUUACUCUAGACUCUAUAGGCUCUAAGUUAUUCAAUGUCAAAGGCCAAGAAACCUGGUGAAGCAGUACAGAACAUAGCCAGCCAACUUGAUCCAGGUCUUCUUAGAAUUUAAUUUUUUUUCAUACAAACAGGUGUAAAGUUAGACAAGCCAGCUGAGGGAACCAUGCCAGAGGGUGAUAUCCUGAGACCACAAAAGUUACUGGUGUCUAAUCAAGAAUUUCUUUGUUACGGUUCAUGUUCUAGUUUAAAAGAUGAUGUUUAGCAAACUUUUAUGAUGAGAUUGAGUUGCAGUUUUGUAGUGGUUAAUCUGGUCAUCUUCUUUUUAUUAAAAAGAGUUGUAACGGGGAUUUUGCUGAAUAAUUGUUUUGGAUUUCCUGUGUUUCAUACUGAAAAUUAUUGGUGUCUCACUAUCUUCAAAAUUAACAUUUUUGCUUUUAUUUUUCCUAUGUCUAUUUUUAUUAAUAUCUCCUACAGACAUUUGCAUCAGGAAUGGUGUUAGUAUCCAAAAUAAGCAAAUUCUUCUUUCCCUGCUCCGUUGCUCUCUAUGCGUUUUGGGUAGCUGCUGCUGCUAUUCUUCUUCGGCUUUAACUUUAACCUGUAGCCAUGUGGAUAAUUUCCCCCCUAUUUUUCCACCGUCCCAUGAUUGAGUCUCACAGGUUGUAGGCCUGCUGGUUUCUGUUGUUCUGUGUUCCUAUCUGUGAGCUGCUGGCUGCUGUUUAUGCUAUUGGCAGUCCUGCUAGCUGCUUGCUGGUCUCUGUUUGGUUGCCUGUGGGGCUGUUGGGUGCAAACUGCUGUCGUGUAGGUUCUCGGCUGGUUCAGGCUGCCUGGUUGUUGUUUUUUUUGCCUGUCUCUGCUGUUCUGAGCUGUUGCAGGGUUGAAGAAGACAUCCUGGUUUGGACUUGCUUUUCCCUGUUUGCUUCUGGUUUGUUGCCUAGUUUCCGUUGCUGUUUUGUUCUGGUUUUGGCUGGUUACUGCUGCUGUUCUGAAUCUGCUGUUCUGCACUGUCAGCUGUUGUGCUGCUUUCUGGUGCUGUGCAUGCCUGGUUCUGGCAGCUGCUGAUGUUCUGCUGAGCUUGUUGCUGUUGGGACAACUUACUCUGUUGCUCGUCUCUACUGCUGUUGUUCAGCUGCUGAUGUUGGUCGCUUGCCUCUCAAAGAUUGUAGUCGUUGUAGUUUUCUCAAUUAAUUUAAUUAGUGAAAUUUGAUUUUGUAACUUUUCCCUUUAAGGGCAAUUAUUAAUGA